UUCGCUACUCUACUACCUAUAGCGGACGGGACCGUAAAAAAGGAGGAGACCAUCCCCGCCGGGCCGGCGGUGCGGCAGUGUGGAGACCUGUCGUAACGCGCAUGGAGGUUCGCUCUCCCUGCGCGAGGGGGCUUUCGCGGACGCGUGGCCCUUACGGCCCUAGUACAUGGCA
rnacentral:ncRNA from 1 species